CAGGACAGGUAAAGUACAGGCAGCAGCAUGGCAAGUUUCCUCCACUUACCACCCCAGCAAUGUGCAUCAACCCUAACCAGGAGGAACUACCUCUCA
ensembl:misc_RNA